rnacentral:rRNA from 1 species
UACGUAGGGUGCAAGCGUUUAUCCGGAAUUAUUGGGCGUAAAGAGCUCGUAGGCGGUUUGUCGCGUCUGCUGUGAAAACUGGAGGCUCAACCUCCAGCCUGCAGUGGGUACGGGCAGACUAGAGUGCGGUAGGGGAGAUUGGAAUUCCUGGUGUAGCGGUGGAAUGCGCAGAUAUCAGGAGGAACACCGGAUGGCGAAAGGCAGGUCUCUGGGCCACU